rnacentral:rRNA from 1 species
AAUCAACGCUGGCGGCGUGCCUCAGACAUGCAAGUCGAACGCUGCUGUUCGCCUUCGGGUGGACAGCGGAGUGGCGCACGGGUGAGUAACACGUAGGUAAUCUACCUUUGGGUGGGGAAUAACAGCCGGAAACGGCUGCUAAUACCGCAUAAUGCAGCGGCAUCACAUGAUGACAGUUGUUAAAGCGGGGGAUCGUAAGACCUCGCGCCUGAAGAGGAGCCUGCGGCAGAUUAGGUAGUUGGUGAGGUAAUGGCUCACCAAGCCUGCGAUCUGUAACCGGCCUGAGAGGGCGGUCGGUCACACUGACACUGACAGUACGGGUCAGA